rnacentral:rRNA from 1 species
UACGUAGGUGGCAAGCGUUGUCCGGAAUUAUUGGGCGUAAAGCGCGCGCAGGCGGCCUCUUAAGUCUGAUGUGAAAGCCCCCGGCUCAACCGGGGAGGGCCAUUGGAAACUGGGAGGCUUGAGUAUAGGAGAGAAGAGUGGAAUUCCACGUGUAGCGGUGAAAUGCGUAGAGAUGAUGGAGGAACACCAGUGGCGAAGGCGACUCUUUGGCCUAUAACUGACGCUGAGGCGCGAAAGCGUGGGAGCAAACAGG